GACGAACGCUGGCGGCGUGCCUAAUACAUGCAAGUAGAACGCUGAAGGGGGAGCUUGCUCUUCUGGAUGAGUUGCGAACGGGUGAGUAACGCGUAGGUAGCCUGCCUGGUAGCGGGGGAUAACUAUUGGAAACGAUAGCUAAUACCGCAUAACAGUAGAUGUUGCAUGACAUUUACUUAAAAGGUGCAAUUGCAUCACUACCAGAUGGACCUGCGUUGUAUUAGCUAGUUGGUGGGGUAACGGCUCACCAAGGCGACGAUACAUAGCCGACCUGAGAGGGGGAUCGGCCAAACUGGGACUGAGACACGGCCCAGACUCCUACGGGAGGCAGCAGUAGGGAAUCUUCGGCAAUGGACGGAAGUCUGACCGAGCAACGCCGCGUGAGUGAAGAAGGGUUUCGGAUCGUAAAGCUCUGUUGUAAGAGAAGAAAGAGUGUGAGAGUGGAAAGUUCACACUGUGACGGUAUCUUACCAGAAAGGGACGGCUAACUACGUG
rnacentral:rRNA from 1 species